CAAUGGCCGCGACCCCGCCGCCCUCGCCUGCGCCAUCUCCGCCGAGGCCAGCGUCGUGCUCGCCUUCAUGCGCUGCAGCCUCAGCCUCUGCCGCCGAGCACCCGCUCAUCUCCUCCCUCAAGACACUGCGCCGCCGAGAUUUGUGGCGAGCUGCCGGCGGCCGGCGAAGGGCCCGUCCAUGCCCGUGAGGUGGAGAAGGGCGGCAUCCGUGAGCAGAAGAAGUAAGGCGGCAUCCAGAUUCGGCAGUAGAAGAACCAAAAGAAAAUGCAGCAGCGCCGGUGGCCGUUGAGGCCGCCGUCUCCGCCCUGCCAUCUUCGACCCGGCGCUCGCCAAGGUGACCGAGCUACACGAUAUGAGGCCGAGUGACAGCGUCUGCACCGUGCGCUGGACGCGCAAGGGCUCCUAUCUCGCCAUUGCCACCAGCCUUGAGAUGUCCAGCUGCAAAGAGGUGCUAUAAUUUGAGAUGAUGUGCAAAAAGGUUAUGCCCUUUAACAACAAAGGACAGCU